rnacentral:rRNA from 1 species
AGAGUUUGAUCCUGGCUCAGAUUGAACGCUGGCGGCAUGCCUUACACAUGCAAGUCGAACGGCAGCACGGGAGCAAUCCUGGUGGCGAGUGGCGAACGGGUGAGUAAUAUAUCGGUACGUGCCCAGUAGUGGGGGAUAGCCCGGCGAAAGCCGGAUUAAUACCGCAUACGACCUGAGGGUGAAAGCGGGGGAUCGCAAGACCUCGCGCUAUUGGAGCGGCCGAUAUCAGAUUAGCUAGUUGGUGGGGUAAAGGCCUACCAAGGCUACGAUCUGUAGUUGGUCUGAGAGGACGACCAGCCACACUGGGACUGAGACACGGCCCAGACUCCUACGGGAGGCAGCAGUGGGGAAUUUUGGACAAUGGGCGCAAGCCUGAUCCAGCAAUGCCGCGUGCAGGAAGAAGGCCUUCGGGUUGUAAACUGCUUUUGUCAGGGAAGAAAUCUUCUGGGCUAAUACCCCGGGAGGAUGACGGUACCUGAAGAAUAAGCACCGGCUAACUACGUGCCAGCAGCCGCGG